rnacentral:misc_RNA from 1 species
GAUAAGAACGUAGCGAAAUGCGAUAAGUAGUGUGAAUUGCAGAAUUCAGUGAAUCAUCGAAUCUUUGAACGCACAUUGCGCCCUUUGGUAUUCCUUAGGGCAUGCCUGUUCGAGCGUCAUUUAAACCUUCAAGCUAAGCUUGGUGUUGGGUGACUGUCCGCUUCACGGCGGACUCGCCUCAAAAUUAUUGGCGGCCGGUACAUUGGCUUCGAGCGCAGCAGAAACGCGAACUCGGGCCCGUCGUAUUGGCUCCCAGAAGCUAUCUUCACAAUUUUGACCUCGGAUCAGGUAGGGAUACCCGCUGAACUUAAGCAUAUCAAUAAGCGGAGGA